rnacentral:rRNA from 1 species
UACGUAGGUGGCAAGCGUUGUCCGGAUUUACUGGGUCGUAAAGGGAGCGGUAGGUGGAUAUUUAAGUGGGAUGUGAAAAUCCCCGGGCUUAACCUGGGGGCUGCAUUCCAAACUGGAUGUCUAGAGUGCAGGAGAGGAGAGUGGAAUUCCUAGUGUAGCGGUGAAAUGCGUAGAGAUUAGGAAGAACACCAGUGGCGAAGGCGACUCUCUGGACUGUAACUGACACUGAGGCUCGAAAGCGUGGGGAGCAAACAGG